AAUUGUGGAAUCAUUUCAUUUUGGGAAAAUUUUUAAUUUCGCAAUUAUGUUGCUUUGUUGAAGAAUUCUGGGGUUUUUUGAAGCAUGAUGAUGGAAUCUGGAAGAACGGAUACAAAGGCUCUUCAACUUCUGCAGCUGGAUUUGGUGCUGUUUACAGGCAGGUUUUCUUCUCCAUCACCUUUUACCUGUAUGGUGUCUUUGGCUGGUCCUCAUUUAAUUCAUACACGGUGCCUUCACAACCCUUUUUGACUGUCUUCACUGACAAGCCAAAUGUCAAGGAAAUAUUUAAAAGGGAUCUGGUUCCAUGUGGGACACCAACAAUUUUCAGUUCAUAUUGACAUAUAGUGCAUGCAGAUGCACUAUAUGCAUGUUCAUGAGAAUUAUGAAAAUCAGCCUUAUAUGUACCAUGACCAGUCAUUCUGAGUAUGCGUUUGCAACAUUACUAGUAAAAUGUAAAUCUAACCUAUUAGACUUUUUGGCCUUUUGUUAUGUUUUCUUGUCCUCCCAUCUCCUUGGGCCUUGUUUAGGUGAUUUUGGUAAUGAGAAUGUAGAGCUCGUCCAAAGUGUUGCAGAUCUUAAAUUUCCUAAAGCUGUUAUUUUGGGAAAUCACGAUUCCUGGUGUACUCAGAAGUUCUCUCAAAAGUAAGUCUAUAUUGCUGCAGCCCACUUUAUUAUUGCAUCUUAUUCAUUGGUUCUAUGUAUUAAAAUGAGUUGUUUGUUCUGUGCUUUGGGCAAUUUUCUUUUUUAAAUUUAUGGGGACCGGUACUGUUAAAUAUAAUAAACAGUUGUCUCAGUUCUUAUGUGCGAUGUUAAUAAGAUAAACAGCUGUUUCAGUUCUUAUA